GAUGAACGCUGGCGGCGCGCCUAAUACAUGCAAGUCGAGCGAACAGACGAGGAGCUUGCUCCUCUGACGUUAGCGGCGGACGGGUGAGUAACACGUGGAUAACCUACCUAUAAGACUGGGAUAACUUCGGGAAACCGGAGCUAAUACCGGAUAAUAUAUUGAACCGCAUGGUUCAAUAGUGAAAGACGGUUUUGCUGUCACUUAUAGAUGGAUCCGCGCCGCAUUAGCUAGUUGGUAAGGUAACGGCUUACCAAGGCGACGAUGCGUAGCCGACCUGAGAGGGUGAUCGGCCACACUGGAACUGAGACACGGUCCAGACUCCUACGGGAGGCAGCAGUAGGGAAUCUUCCGCAAUGGGCGAAAGCCUGACGGAGCAACGCCGCGUGAGUGAUGAAGGUCUUCGGAUCGUUAAACUCUGUUAUUAGGGAAGAACAAAUGUGUAAGUAACUAUGCACGUCUUGACGGUACCUAAUCAGAAAGCCACGGCUAACUACGUG
rnacentral:rRNA from 1 species